AUUGAACGCUGGCGGCAGGCCUAACACAUGCAAGUCGAGCGGCAGCGGGAAGUAGCUUGCUACUUUGCCGGCGAGCGGCGGACGGGUGAGUAAUGUCUGGGAAACUGCCUGAUGGAGGGGGAUAACUACUGGAAACGGUAGCUAAUACCGCAUGACCUCGCAAGAGCAAAGUGGGGGACCUUCGGGCCUCACGCCAUCGGAUGUGCCCAGAUGGGAUUAGCUAGUAGGUGAGGUAAUGGCUCACCUAGGCGACGAUCCCUAGCUGGUCUGAGAGGAUGACCAGCCACACUGGAACUGAGACACGGUCCAGACUCCUACGGGAGGCAGCAGUGGGGAAUAUUGCACAAUGGGCGCAAGCCUGAUGCAGCCAUGCCGCGUGUGUGAAGAAGGCCUUAGGGUUGUAAAGCACUUUCAGCGAGGAGGAAGGGUUCAGUGUUAAUAGCACUGUACAUUGACGUUACUCGCAGAAGAAGCACCGGCUAACUCCGUGCCAGCAGCCGCGGUAAUACGGAGGGUGCAAGCGUUAAUCGGAAUUACUGGGCGUAAAGCGCACACAGGCGGUCUGUUAAGUCAGAUGUGAAAUCCCCGGGCUCAACCUGGGAACUGCAUUUGAAACUGGCAGGCUUGAGUCUUGUAGAGGGGGGUAGAAUUCCAGGUGUAGCGGUGAAAUGCGUAGAGAUCUGGAGGAAUACCGGUGGCGGAGGCGGCCCCCUGGACAAAGACUGACGCUCAGGUGCGAAAGCGU
rnacentral:rRNA from 1 species